AUUGAACGCUGGCGGCAGGCUUAACACAUGCAAGUCGAGCGGGGUGAUGGUGCUUGCACUAUCACUUAGCGGCGGACGGGUGAGUAAUGCUUAGGAAUCUGCCUAUUAGUGGGGGACAACAUCUCGAAAGGGAUGCUAAUACCGCAUACGUCCUACGGGAGAAAGCAGGGGAUCACUUGUGACCUUGCGCUAAUAGAUGAGCCUAAGUCGGAUUAGCUAGUUGGUGGGGUAAAGGCCUACCAAGGCGACGAUCUGUAGCGGGUCUGAGAGGAUGGGCCGCCACACUGGGACUGGGACACGGCCCAGACUCCUACGGGGGGCAGCAGUGGGGAAUAUUGGACAAUGGGGGGAACCCUGAUCCAGCCAUGCCGCGUGUGUGAAGAAGGCCUUAUGGUUGUAAAACACUUUAAGCGAGGAGGAGGCUCUUUUGGUUAAUACCCAAGAUGAGUGGACGUUACUCGCAGAAUAAGCACCGGCUAACUCUGUGCCAGCAGCCGCCGUAA
rnacentral:rRNA from 1 species